CAAACCACUUUAUAAAUAUUUCAUGUAGAAGGCAAAGAUAUGCAAAUACCUUGCUGAAAAAGCCUUAAAAUAAGCACUCAGAUUUGGAAAGGCGCAACACCUAGCAAACAAACGUACUAUUAAAAUUAAAGCUCUGCCUUCAUCCCCGGGCAGAACUAUAAACUUUUUAAUACUGCACCGGAUAAAUAUUUUAAACUUUCGUGUCUAAUAACCUAACGGUCAAGUUAUUCGGUUGCUGAAACUGAAGGUCAAGUUGUUUCACUGGUCUUUGGGCCCAACACCCCCACAGCGCUCCCCGCGCAGCACGGGCCGGGCCUGGCCGGAGCGCACCGCCCCGCCGCCGGGCCGGGAGGGGCUGGUCAGGAUAGGAAGGCCUCCCGCCGGCCGCCCAAAAGCGGCGGGCACGGAGCCGGUCGCGGGCACAAUGCACGGCAGCAGCGACCGCCUCUGCGCCGGAGCCACCCCCGCGGGGCGGACGGUUCCGGAGGAAGGGCGGCCCGGAGCGGCAGCGCCGCAGGGGCCGGGGCGGGCAGAGGGCGGCACCGUCCCGGGAGCGGUGAGGGACCCGCCGCCGCCACACACUUGCUCGCCGGGGAAGGGGCUGGGUGGCGGGCGGCGCCGUCCCUUCCCGCCCAGCAGCUGAGGCGCCGCGGCCCCGCGCCCCCUGAGCGACGGGCACGACGGGUCACGCGCCACGCGGGAACCGGCCGCAACCACUCACCCACGCCGCGCAGCACCGCCCCACCCCUCCCCUCCCGCCGCUGCCUUCAAAUCCGCACCUCCUUCCGGCCCGCCCCUCCCGCCGACACCUCGCGAGAACUCUCCCGUUCCGCCCCGCUGGAGACGCGCCGGGCGGUCACUAUGAUCUUCCACCAAGAAUUGAAACUUGGAAUUCCUUUCUGACCCCAAUUUCCCUGGUUUUGCUGGCACGGAACAAGAAUUUCAUCCACGGUUGGUGAAUUUUUCAAAGUGAACGAAAAAGGACAUUACAUAGGAGCUGGUGUAACUGGCACAUACCUAAUCCUGUCUUUUAGGAAAUGGGAACAACGAGAACAUACAAAAGGGAAAGGAUUUUUGUGCUGCUUCUCCUCUUCGGCACCUGCACAUGCUGGAGGCUGUGCACAUAUUGUGUCUCCCGUACUGCCGCUGCAGUGACUCUAAGUCAUAUUUGUAGCGAUAUGUUAUGUCAUCAGCACUACAAAAUUCCUGAACAUUUACUGGAAAUAUUAGACUUGCUCUUUCUGUAUUUGAACUUAUAAAUUGCAUCACAAAGUAUGAGGAGAAGACUUGCAACUGUAUUUGCAGCUGUAAAUUAAGAAAAAUAUGUGUAUAUCCAUGUUAUCUAUCCACUGAAGGAAGAAAACCCUCUCUCCUUAAUCAAAACCAAUGCAUCAGGUAGAUAUCUCUCUUUCUCAAAUGAUAAUGACAUGGUAUAAAUAUUCUUCUAUGAUAUAAAAAGGCAUGUGCCUGCCUCUCUGUCUCCUUGUAACAUUUCACCACCUUUUUCAUUCACUUAAAAUGUGUAGUAAUUUCCAAAUCACAGGGGAAAUUUGGUAUUAUUUGGGAUGGGCUAGGCAGAGUUAAAAUUAGCAAUUCCAAUCUGUUGCUUUAAUUAUUUUCUGUUUAACAGAAACUUCAGCCUUCCAGCGACUAGUGAGGCAGUAACAAGUGUGUACUCUCGUGACUGACUGACUGUGCCUCUAGUUUUUGUUGCUGUUUUCAAGGUAGUUGAAGAAGCAAUAUAUUUAUGGCAGAUCAGGUAAAUGAUAUGUCAGAGCACAUAAAGCUGUCUUAUACAAGCAUUCAUAAAAGACUUUUCUCCCAGUAACAAAUGGCAUCUAUGUCUCUUACAGCAGAGUAUAUCUUACUCUGAAUAUCUAAAUGAAACCUGCGAUUGUGCAGAGGAAAGAUUUUUGAAUGGUACAGAGGUCUGGACUAUUUUUUUCUCCUGAAGUACAGUGCUGCCUCAGUGGGCUGCUGAAGCAGUGUUUUCCUUUCAUUUUGCACUAUUUCAUAAUACAACUAUAAAAGGGAGUGUAACAACAUUCUUGCAUCAUAAAUGCUUCCUGUAAUGUAAUGCAUAUGAAGUCUAGUCUAUAAAAUUGCUAUGAAACAAGAAAUCUAGAUUUCAGCAAAAAUAAAACGGGUAUUUAUGUGGAAGGCUUGUUGUCAUUCUGUGUCCUUUGUUGUUGCUGGUGGCAGCUCAGAGGUUGACUAUAUUCAUUGUCACUGGUAUGCAGUACUGACAAGUCUGCCUGAUCCUGUACCCUUACGGUAAGUGCAGAUUUAGGCAGCCAGAGCUGAAAAAGCAAACCAGUGUUUUAUUUAACACGUCAUUAAAAUGACAUUUCUGUUGUCUAUAUAUUAGUGACUAUGAAACAAUGGUCUUGAUGUUUUUAAUUAGUUUCACAUAAACAACACUGAUAAACAGAAAUAAAUGCAGUUUAUGGAAUAGGUCAGUAAACUGCAUAUACAACAGGGAUUGCUGUUAGGAGUAGCAGGUGUUCCUGGUCAGUGGUUCCUGGUAUAAGCUGGUUUCAUUUACACAGACAUUUGUGACAGGAAUGUCCAUACUUCUGAAUGUCAGAAACUGUUGCUCGUGAAAUAUUACUACGUGAAAGUCAAGUAACAUAUCUUCUUUGAUUUUUGCCUUUUUGGUCCAUCUGUUUUAUCAUGUAAGAAGGUAAUAGAGUUAUGUGUAUCCCCCCUGCUUCUAACUGCAUUGUGCUGUAAGGCAGAAUAAAAUACUGUAAAUAUGGUUGUAAAUAGUUUCUCAGCAUUUUUGUUGGCUUCUUCCAGGGCUAGGAGAAAGAACUGACACUCACUGGGGAACUAGUAAUCUUCCAUUUUCCAUGUGGCAAAACUCUCAAUGUCAUAGUGGUUUUAGUUCAAUUUUUGAGCAGAAAUGUUAUCACAUACAUAUCUGUCUCACAAACCAGGGAGCAAGUUUUGUCAUUCCUAGAGCUUGUACAAGUUAGUGUAAUAUCUAGCAUAGGUGAUUUUAUAUUUGUAGGAACAGAAAACUUGUUCCUGAUCACUUGACCUAAGUAAAACAAAGGUGUGCAUUAUACAGGGCUGUGCAGUCUUAGCAUGAGGCCAUGGAAGAGGUAAGAGGGCAAAGGGGAAAAAAGCCAUCAAAGAUAUAUCAUAAAUUAAUAAACCACAUGUCUGUGUCUCCAGAUGUUAUUGCAAGGCUAACACCCCCACCCAUGUCAUGGUAUUAGUAUCUAUUGAUUCUUGUGAUGGUGAGAGUGACAGAAAUAGUGCACUGAAAAUGAAGACAGCCAGAAAACAACAUGUUUAAAAGCAGCAUUGGGCUGAUGGAGGAAGAAAAUUCAGAUGCCAAAGUUUAUAUCCUUAAAUGCAGCAGAAACGGACACACUUUUCUUUCUCACACAUACAUUGUACUUGGCAAAUACCAGAGCAAGCUGCCUUUUUCCCUUAUUUGAACCGGAAUGAGGGUUCUUGCUGGUAAACUGAAUGCUUUGCUGAAGGUAAGAGACAGAGAAGCUCUUAACGUUGGCCUGCUGUAGUGCAAGAGAACAGCUCUGUCGAUAUCUUGGUUUCCUGUGGGCUGCAUUCACUGAAGAAGGGAGUGGGAUACAUGUGGUCGGUGUUUGAAAUGCAAACAUGGCACAACAGUGCCUUGGAUUCCUUUGAUGUCCACCUGAGACUGAAAGGUUUGGGAAGCUUGGCUGGUGCAUCUGUCCCUUCAUGUGCUUCCAAGAGCCUGGCUCAGGACUUCUCACACACUGAAACAGUCCCUGAGGUGUCCUCUCCCUGGAAUUGUUCUGAUCAAAAGUCCAGUUUUGUGUGUCCAAAGGAGGGCGAGGAGAUUCUUGUUCAGUUAUUUUCAUGUUAUCCUCACAAGGUUGUCUUAUCUAAAGGAGCAGGUGUAAAACAGGGCUUGAAGCCUGGCCUAACUCCAAUGGCUGACCAGCUGGGAAAUGCAGAGUGAUCCUGGGCUUAGGGCAAUCCAGUACAACGGCAACGCAGGAGAGGGGACAGCAUGUUGAGUAAGUUAAAGUAACUUCUGUUUGUAAAUUUAGCACUGUGCACAUGAAGGAGAAGCAAGUAUUUUGCCAGGUGCUGAAGAACUGGAAAGGAUUUGUUGUAGAGAUACCAUAGUUACUACUGUAUGCAGAGCUGGAGCUGUAUGGGCUGGCAGGAGUUUGGCAGCAGGUAGCUGGCAGCCAGAAGAGGACUCUACGUUACCUACAUGUCAGUUUUUGCCAACACCUCCAACUGAACCCCAAAACUGGUUUUCAACAACGUUGCCAGCCUAUAAAGGUAACACCAGUCCAGAGCCAGUAGCCACUAGUUCAGCAAAAUAGCUCCCAGUUAGUCCCAAAACACAGAAUUCCCAGAACUUGGUACCUCUGUCUGUGCAUGUCUUGCAGCUGAUUUCUCUACCCUUGACAUCACUUACUGUCAUUGUUUGCUUUUGCUUAUUAUCUCCUGGAAUGUCUAUUUACCUGCCUGUUCUCAUAUGAACAGUGAUCUGUUUGGCUUGGGUCUCCAAGGGCUGUGACAAGUGGUGCUUGUACAUCAUUCAGUUAGUCUUCCUCAUUUGCUGAGAACACAUUUCUCACUCUUUUCUUUCUGCUCAUAGAAAUGUACAUAUAUUUCAUAGAUAGCUGAGUACACUUAGCCCUGGGUCAUAUAUAGGCCUUCAUUUCUCUGGUUCUCUUUUUUUGUAAGAAAUACCUUCAGCAGGGAUUAUUUGAUGCUUUUGUUUUUACAUAUUUUUUGUCUCAAAUCUCUAAAUCUCUUUCCAACACUCAUUUAAACUUUAAAAAAGUGGAAUAACAUGCAAGAGUUGAUCAGAUAACAUAAUUUCUGUAGUGCAGCUGUGCAUACCUGGUAGUCUUGAUAUUCAAUUCCAGUUAACAGGUUUUCCUGCAGCCAGGGGAUACUUCAGUGAAAGGAAUUCUCUUGCAACAACUGCAAACCAAAAAAAAAAAAAAAAAAGUCUCAACAAUAAGUAAUUGGGGUGACCUUGAGGAGUAUUUUCACAUGUUAGUUAACUUUUUAUCUAUUUUUUCCCCACUUAGACUGUCACGAAGCAGAGGAAUAAGAACUUAAUAGAUUAUAGACAACAUGUACAAGCAGUUUGUGUUUUCCUACAGUCCAUCUUUCUGCUGCGCUUGUGUGAGUGGUGUUUGGUCUCAGCAGAGAAACAGUAAUUUCACCAGCUCCUGUGGGCCCAAUUGCAGCCUGAAGCCAAUUUGUGCAUCUUCAGUGGAGCUCAUGUGGUCUGAAUCAGGGAUGGCAGAAGCAGCAGCCUCCUCUUCCUGUUUCUGAGCAAAAGAUGAAUGAGUGUGGUACCAGAUGAAAGGCAGUGGUAAAAAGCCGAAUGGCUAUGCAGAUACCUGAUGGAUCUGUUGGUUGUCAUGGCAGUCGGUGCAAAGGAGCAGAGCUAUCCCAGCCCCAUGCUGGGGGAAUUAAAAAUGAAAAUGAGAAAGAUUAGGUAAUUUAAUGUUGAUUUUUCUUAUGACUUCUACUUCCUUUGAGAAAAACAAAUACAAUAUUUUAAUGAGAAAAAAUAUAUCUCGGAUACUGUUGGUAUUUGGACAUGUCAGCAUUUUGCGUGACAGGUUAUUUCUAGCUUGACCGCAUUUCUGUUUAUAAACCAUCAUUAGAGGUUUAUAACGGAAGGAGAUGAUGCUCCAGGUGAUGGGUGCAUACUGCCUAUAUUGAUACUCCUUAGAAACUAGCCAAAUUUAACUUGGAUAUGUAAAUAAGAUUCUGUCAAUACACUAUGGUGUAUUACUGUCUGCCUGCCUGACCCCUUUCUGUGACUUCCUUCCCCCCAGCACAAUCGUCCAAAGCAUCGCCAGGAACUGCUCCUCCCCUGUAUCCAGCGCUGCAUGGCAUGUGCAGUCCAUAGGGUGCUCCAGCCCUCCUGACCUGCCUGCCUUUGGGCCAUGGCCGCAGCUUGAACCAGGCACCACACUCGGCACAUUGUUAUUUCCAACCUAAGCAUAGAUGCCAUGGAAGCCUCCCAGCUGGCAAUCAGGUCCCAAUCCAGAAGGACUUCCACCUUUCAGAAGUUCUCUGUUUUGUCUUCUGGCCCUGAACUAAUUUUUUGGAUACCUGCUAUCCAAAACAGCAGUUCUCACAUAUGUGUAGGAACCAGAUUGCUGUCUUGACGUCAGAUCGUAGAACAAAUAGAGAAGAAAUGGGCUAGUCCAGGAGCAAUCAAAUUUUUUGACAUCUUCAUAUGGCUAAAAGCCACCGGCACCUUUCCCUCUCUGUGCCCACCACCGUUGCCCCAGAGGGUACUCCUGCUGGGACUUCUUGUCUCCCACACACCUAACUACUGCCUAUCUACACACCUACCUCUUAGAACUCCUCAAACCACAUCUCUUUUCCUGCACCAUCGCUGCAGAUACCUUGGGCCUCCUUCUCCAUCCCAUCUUCCCUAGGCACUGGGAAUUUUCUGUUCUGUCUCAAUGAUCUCCAUAGGUCCCUGUGCCACAGAAGCUGCAUCCUGCAAGACUGCCAGCACCAUGGAGGCUCCAAACCUGCUGGUACCACAGCUAAGGUCAUCUUACAGAUUUGCCAUGACUUUCCCCCCUCCUCCUUGUAAUUUGGGAACUACAUGCAGAGGUUUGGGUUUUACCCAAAUACACUGUACUGCACUGGGUGCUUGCAGUCCCAUAACUGGGAGAAAUCUGACCAUGCUGAGUGGGAAAUAUAAAGUUCCCACAGGAUCCUGAGAGAAGAUGAGUGCUCCAUAGCUUUCCAUGGGUGACAGUUACUUUAAGUGAUAAUUCUGAUAUUCCACCCUGUGGUGUGAGAAGGUUCAGAGGCGUACCGUACAACAGAUACUCACUUGGGCAGAAGAUGGUGAAGUAGGCGGGUUUAAGGCCUCACACACUGAUGGGAGUCUUACAUUCUUACAUCCUGGUCACUAGACUCCAGAUAUUUUUAAAUAAUCUGUGGACGGUGAAUUAGAGUCAAAGAAUAUGGAAACAGGAAUAUUGGUGGUUUGACUACAACAUUCUUACAGCCUAAAUCUGCUCUGCAGUGCAAGAACAUAAAAACAUUAAGUGGUAACAAAUGUUGAUUUGACUCAUCUCCAGAUUACCAGCAGCAUGAUCCUACAGGAUUUCCUCUUCCCCAGGUGCAUUUGCAAAUGUGUAUUUACAUUUAUGCAAUAGAAUUCAGUGACAAGAAUGAUCUGAAAUGAAAUUAUGAAAUGCAUUACUUGGAACAGUCAGCUGCAGAAGGGAAACCGAGUAAGCAGAGAACAAUCUAUCCAGGAUGCUGCCAGGCUGGGCUGCAAAAAAAUGACAAUCUAUAUUCAUUAGAGAUAUUUAAUAAUUUUCUAAAAAACUAAAUGUAAAAAAUAUCUCAA